UGCAGUGUAGCUCAGUGGCAGAGCUCCUGUCUGUCAUGCACAAGGUCCUGGGUUCCAGCCUCAGCCCUACAA
rfam:Ictidomys tridecemlineatus contig012964, whole genome shotgun sequence.